AGCGACCAUAUAAGUGUGUUGGACAACAGACUGUAGGUGAUUUGCUUCUCCCCGGAUUCGGUAAGUGGUAUUCCCAUACCAUACCCGUACUGAUCAAAUGAGUUGGUGACGAUUGAAUAACGUGUUCUCUCCUUCCCCAGUGAUCAGCAUAAGGGCGAUCUGGGUGCACGCUUAAUUAGUGAUAUCUGAAGCUGGAGUGGGGUGUAUCAGAGUGGCGGCUAUCUAGGGUGUGGAGGUGGUCUUUUGUCAAAAGUGUGGGGUGUAACUUAUGUUUGUAGUGUAAUUCCACUAGAGUGUCUUUUGAGAUUGAAAUCCACAAGGGAAGGCUGCUUUAAUUUGGGCUGUUGUGAUGCUCCAUGUGUGGCCGACCCACUUUCUGAGACACCCCAGUUCUAUGAUGUAACCUUUUGAGUUAACCCUUUUGAUUUAGUCCUGUUGUUUUAUCGCUUGUGGCUCUGGCCAUUUAUUCUGAACUACUUGUGUUCAUUUUGGUCAUUUUUACCUUUAUGAUAAUAAAGCUGUAUUCUUAUAUUGA